GCUUAAAAUCCAAAGGACUUGACGGUGUCCCACCCCCCUAGAGGAGCCUGUUCUAUAAUCGAUGAUCCCCGCUACACCUCACCGCUUCUUGCUUCCACGCAGCCUGUAUACCUCCGUCGCAAGCUUACCAUAUGAAUGAACUAUAGUAGGCCUAAUGGCGUACUCGCCAGCACGUCAGGUCAAGGUGCAGCCUAUGAAGCGGCAAGCAAUGGGCUACAAUUUCUAACUUAGAACAAACGAACAACCAUCUGAAACCAUGGUCAUGAAGGUGGAUUUAGCAGUAACGGGGGAUAAUAGUGCCCCCUUUAAUAGCGGCCCUGGGACGCGUACAAACCGCCCGUCACCCUCUUCAACAGCUCAUCAACCAGUUAAUAACACCGCGCUCGCGCUUCAGAAGAGGCAAGUCGUAACACGGUAAGCGUACUGGAAAGUGCGCUUGGAUAAACAAGAUAUAGCUUAGAAAAGCCCCCUGCUUACACCAGGAAGUCGUCUGUUGAACCCAGAUUAUCUUGAGCCCUAAUUCUA
rnacentral:rRNA from 1 species